GAUCAAUGAUGAAAAUAGCCAAAUCUGAGCAUCAGGAGGCUGUGCAGCCUGCCUGACGCGUGAUCUAGUUCUGAGA